ACUGCUCAGUAACACGUAGCUAACCUACCCUUAGGACGUCGAUAACCCCGAGAAAUUGGGGCUAAUAGGCGAUAGAUGUAUUGUCCUGGAAUGGUAAUACGUCCAAAGGUAUCCCAUACAUGUUUGGUAUGCGCCUAAGGAUGGGGCUGCGGCCGAUCAGGCUGUUGGUGAGGUAAUGGCUCACCAAACCUUUGACCGGUAUGGGCCAUGAGAGUGGUAGCCCAGAGAUGGACACUGAGACAAGGGUCCAGGCCCUACGGGGCGCAGCAGGCGCGAAACCUCCUCAAUGCACUAACGUGCGAAGGGGUUACCUCGAGUGCCACCUGAAGAAGGUGGCUUUUCCUCGGUCUAAAAAGCCUAGGGAAUAAGAGGGGGGCAAGACUGGUGUCAGCCGCCGCGGUAACACCAGCCCCUCGAGUGGUGGGGAUGAUUAUUUGGCCUAAAGCGUCCGUAGCCGGCCGGGCAAAUCUCUCGUUAAAUCCAGCGUCCUAAGCGUUGGGCUGCGAGGGAGACUGCCAAGCUAGAGGGUGGGAGAGGUUAGCGGUAUUUCUGGGGUAGGGGCGAAAUCCAUUGAUCCCAGGAGGACCACCAGUGGCGAAGGCUGCUGACCAGAACACGCCUGACGGUGAGGGACGAAAGCUGGGGUAGCGAAUCGGAUUAGAUACCCGAGUAGUCCCAGCCGUAAACGAUGCAGGCUAGGUGCUGGGUCGGCCAUGUGCCGACUCAGUGCCACAGGGAAGCCAUUAAGCCUGCCGCCUGGGGAGUACGGUCGCAAGGCUGAAACUUAAAGGAAUUGGCGGGAGAGCACCACCAGGCGUGAAGCCUGCGGGUUAAUUGGAGUCAACGCCGGA
rnacentral:rRNA from 1 species